rnacentral:rRNA from 1 species
UACCGUACUGCAAACCAACUCAGGUGGUCCAGUAUAUAUACUCAGGCCAUAGAAUCAACCAUGACUAAGAAACUCGGCAAAAUACACGCGUGACUUCGGAGGAAGCGUGACUAAAUAGACUCAGAAAAUAGCCGACAGCGACUGUUUACCAAAAACACAAGAAAGUGCAAACAUUUUUACCGGGACAAGAAAUUGUCUUAUAAUUGACUGUAUACUUUCUGAUGCCUGCCCAAAGGCGAAGGCAAACGGCGGCGGUAACUCUAACCGUCCUAAGGUAGCGAAAUUCCUUGACGUUUAAUUGGCGUCCUUGCAUGAAUGGCUGAACGACUGUCGGGCUGUCUCAGUCAUGGGAUCUGUGAAUUUGAAAUCUUCGUGCAGAUGCGAAGAUGCUGGCAAGGGACGAAGAGACCCUAUGCAGCUUCGCUGGGUGAUAGGAGUUGGUCGCGUAUAGCUGUAGUGGGUUCACAAAUAAUGACUUAAAAAAUCAUAACCACUUACUUCUAGACAUUUACUCCAAUCCUCAAGCUUCUCUGGGACGGAGGCCCUCUAAAUUGUAACGGGGGUUAACAACGGUACUUCUUAAACUGAAAUAGAAAAGUUGUGCUUGACUGCAAGAACCACAUUUCGAGCAGGUACGAAAGUAGGUAUUAAGGACCCUGGAUACCUUUAUUUA